ACAUCUUUACAAUUUAGUUUGUGUGUAUGAACUCCUAUUUUAGUCCCAAUUAGCCCUUACCGGGAACCUUUCAUCGUGAAGCUUUCUUCCAGGAACCAACUGUUUGAGUUCAAUUAAUAGGUAUCUGAAGCUUCUCGUUGAUCUUUCCGAAGAUAUCCGAUUUUGGUUAGGAAGCAUUCUGAACUUAUUGGGGGACAUCCUAGUUUAAUCCUCAAAUAAAAGCAUAUUAACGAUCUUUCUCUCUCCUU